AACGAACGCUGGCGGCAUGCCUAACACAUGCAAGUCGAACGAGACCUUCGGGUCUAGUGGCGCACGGGUGCGUAACGCGUGGGAACCUGCCCUUAGGUUCGAAAUAACUCCCCGAAAGGGGUGCUAAUACCGGAUAAUGUCUUCGGACCAAAGAUUUAUUGCCUUUGGAUGGGCCCGCGUUGGAUUAGCUAGUUGGUAGGGUAAAAGCCUACCAAGGCGACGAUCCAUACAUGGUCUGAGAGGAUGAUCAGCAACACUGGGACUGAGACACGGCCCAGACUCCUACGGGAGGCAGCAGUGGGGAAUAUUGGACAAUGGGCGGAAGCCUGAUCCAGCAAUGCCGCGUGAGUGAUGAGGGCAUUAGGGUUGUAAAGCUCUUUUACCCGGGAUGAUAAUGACAGUACCGGGAGAAUAAGCUCCGGCUAACUCCGUG
rnacentral:rRNA from 1 species